rnacentral:rRNA from 1 species
AUUGAACGCUGGCGGCAUGCUUUACACAUGCAAGUCGAACGGCAGCACAAUAAAGAUUUCGGUCUUUAUGGGUGGCGAGUGGCGGACGGGUGAGUAACGCGUAGGAAUCUGUCCUGGAGAGUGGGAUAACCCGAGGAAACUCGGGCUAAUACUGCAUGACAUUGAGAGAUCAAAAGCAGGGGACCGAAAGGCCUUGCGCUCUGGGGUGAGCCUACGUCGGAUUAGCUAGUUGGUGGGGUAAAGGCCUACCAAGGCGACGAUCCGUAGCUGGUCUGAGAGGAUGACCAGCCACACUGGGACUGAGACACGGCCCAGACUCCUACGGGAGGCAGCGGUGGGGAAUCUUGGACAAUGGGGGAAACCCUGAUCCAGCGAUGCCGCGUGUGUGAAGAAGGCCUUCGGGUUGUAAAGCACUUUAGGUGGGGAAGAAAGGUAGCGAGUGAAUAACUUUCUGCUGUGACGGUACCCACAGAAUAAGCACCGGCUAACUCUGUGCCAGCCGCCGCGGUAA